GACAGAGGGUGCAAACGUUGUUCGGAAUUACUGGGCGUAAAGCGCGUGUAGGCGGUCUCGCAAGUCGGAUGUGAAAGCCCAGGGCUCAACCCUGGAAGUGCACUCGAUACUGCGAGGCUAGGACGUCCGAGAGGAUGGUGGAACUCUCGGUGUAGAGGUGAAAUUCGUAGAUAUCGAGAAGAACACCGGUGGCGAAGGCGGCCAUCUGGACGGUGACUGACGCUGAGACGCGAAAGCGUGGGGAGCAAACAGG
rnacentral:rRNA from 1 species